rnacentral:rRNA from 1 species
CCUACGGGUGGCAGCAGUGAGGAAUAUUGGUCAAUGGACGAGAGUCUGAACCAGCCAAGUAGCGUGAAGGAUGACUGCCCUAUGGGUUGUAAACUUCUUUUAUAUGGGAAUAAAACGUUCCACGUGUGGGAUUUUGUAUGUACCAUAUGAAUAAGGAUCGGCUAACUCCGUGCCAGCAGCCGCGGUAAUACGGAGGAUCCGAGCGUUAUCCGGAUUUAUUGGGUUUAAAGGGAGCGUAGGUUGAUUGUUAAGUCAGUUGUGAAAGUUUGCGGCUCAACCGUAAAAUUGCAGUUGAAACUGGCAGUCUUGAGUACAGUAGAGGUGGGCGGAAUUCGUGGUGUAGCGGUGAAAUGCUUAGAUAUCACGAAGAACUCCGAUUGCGAAGGCAGUUCACUGGACUGCAACUGACACUGAGGCUCGAAAGUGUGGGUAUCAAACAGGAUUAGAUACCCCUGUAGUC